rnacentral:rRNA from 1 species
UAGGGAAUCUUCCACAAUGGACGCGAGUCUGAUGGAGCAACGCCGCGUGAGUGAAGAAGGUUUUCGGACCGUAAAGCUCUGUUGUUGGUGAAGAAGGAUAGAGGUAGUAACUGGCCUUUAUUUGACGGUAAUCAACCAGAAAGUCACGGCUAACUACGUGCCAGCAGCCGCGGUAAUACGUAGGUGGCAAGCGUUGUCCGGAUUUAUUGGGCGUAAAGCGAGCGCAGGCGGAAGAAUAAGUCUGAUGUGAAAGCCCUCGGCUUAACCGAGGAAUUGCAUCGGAAACUGUUUUCUUGAGUGCAGAAGAGGAGAGUAGAACUCCAUGUGUAGCGGUGGAAUGCGUAGAUAUAUGGAAGAAUACCAGUGGCGAAGGCGGCUCUCUGGUCUGCAACUGACGCUGAGGCUCGAAAGCAUGGGUAGCGAACAGGAUUAGAUACCCUGGUAGUCCAUGCCGUAAACGAUGAGUGCUAAGUGUUGGGAGGCUUCCGCCUCUCAGUGCUGCAGCUAACGCAUUAAGCACUCCGCCUGGGGGAGUACGACCGCAAGGUUGAAAC